ACAAGGCGGCUAGAGCUCAUGUGUAAAGGCGAGUUACCAGUACAUGAGGUUAUGUCUAAUUACCUGAAAUACCCUCCUCUGUUGAGUGAAAAAUGCAGUUUUCAUCAGCCCUGCAUUAAUUACAGCUGCCGAGAGCUGUAAUUGGCAAAAGCAUGCUUUUAGCUCAUGACUCAAGGCUGACUCAACUUUGGGGACCUCGCUUUCCAUGGCCCCAAGCUGGGCUCUGUUUUUUCCUGGAAACGCCUAAGUGGUUUGCCAAGCCCUUCAACCAGGCCCGUGGAACUCCUGGGAGGCUCAGCACCCAGAUUUGAGCCCCUGGCUUCCCCGCUGCAGGUGGAGAGUGUGGAAGUGACCCCGGCUCUGUGCUCUCACAUUGACCACACGUCAACUCGAAGACCCCUUUGGAAAGGAGGAGGUGGGGGUCCAGCGAUGGCAGGAAACGCACCGGGGAUCAGAGGCCAGAGCCCAGGGAAGUGAACUCAAGCGCCUGCAGCCCCCUUGCCGUCUCAGGAAAGUUUGAAAGUGGAGAAAUGUACCAAGAAAAUUAAAAUCACCUGUAUCCUUGCCACCCAGAAAAAGACACACAAGUACGUUUUGUUUACGCUCUCCCGAUGUUUAGACAGAUAAGCAGUUAGAUCUGAGAAAGAGAGUCGACCUUACAGAGGCACACACACGGAUGGAUAGACAGUUUUAAAAACAGAACUGAGGGAAGAGAGCAGAUUCUGUUUUGCAGGGUUUUUUGUUCACUUGACAUUGAAGAUGAGCUUCUGAUGCCGACUUUCCAUGGGAGGCUUGGGGACGUGGAAUGACUAGUCUACAGUUCUUAGGGUAAGCGUAGGAGCCACCUGCCUUCUCU